rnacentral:rRNA from 1 species
UUCUUUAAGAACUAAUUUAAAGUAAAACCUGCUCAAUGAAAAAAUUUCAAUAGCCGCAGUUAUACUGUGCUAAGGUAGCAUAAUCACUUGCUUUCUAAAUAAAAGAUAGUAUGAAAGGUUAAACGAUAAAAUACUGUUUCAUAAAAAUUAAUGAAUUUAUUUUUAAAGUUAAAAUACUUUAAUAAAAAGUAAGACGACAAGACCCUAAUAAACUUAACAUUUAGUUGGGGUAACACUAUAAUAAAUCUUUAUUAUCACAUAACAAUUCAAAUUACUUAAAAAAUUUCAUCUAGUUACUAUAGGGAUAACAGCGCUAUCUCUUUCUAAAGCUCUUAUUUAAAAAGAAGAUUACGACCUCGAUGUUGAAUUAUUAACCCUAAAAGGUGCAAAAACUUUUUAAAGGAAGUCUGUUCGACUAUUAAAAUAAU